AACGAACGCUGGCGGCAGGCCUAACACAUGCAAGUCGAGCGAGGACUUCGGUCCUAGCGGCGGACGGGUGAGUAACGCGUGGGAACGUGCCCUUUGCUACGGAAUAGCCCCGGGAAACUGGGAGUAAUACCGUAUGUGCCCGAGAGGGGAAAGAUUUAUCGGCAAAGGAUCGGCCCGCGUUGGAUUAGGUAGUUGGUGGGGUAAUGGCCUACCAAGCCGACGAUCCAUAGCUGGUUUGAGAGGAUGAUCAGCCACACUGGGACUGAGACACGGCCCAGACUCCUACGGGAGGCAGCAGCGGGGAAUCUUAGACAAUGGGGGAAACCCUGAUCUAGCCAUGCCGCGUGAGCGAUGAAGGCCUUAGGGUUGUAAAGCUCUUUCAGUGGGGAAGAUAAUGACGGUACCCACAGAAGAAGCCCCGGCUAACUCCGUGCCAGCAGCCGCGGUAAAAC
rnacentral:rRNA from 1 species